rnacentral:rRNA from 1 species
CCUACGGGUGGCAGCAGUGGGGAAUAUUGGGCAAUGGGCGCAACCCUGACCCAGCAACGCCGCGUGAGGGAAGAAGGCUUUCGGGUUGUAAACUUCUUUUAGCAGGGACGAAACAAGUGACGGUACCUGAUGAAUAAGCCACGGCUAACCACGUGCCAGCAGCCGCGGUAAUACGUAGGUGGCAAGCGUUAUCCGGAUUUACUGGGUGUAAAGGGAGUGUAGGCGGGAGUGCAAGUCAGAUGUGAAAACUAUGGGCUCAACCCAUAGCCUGCAUUUGAAACUGUACUUCUUGAGUGCAGGAGAGGCAAGUGGAAUUCCGUGUGUAGCGGUGAAAUGCGUAGAUAUAAGGAGGAACACCAGUGGCGAAGGCGGAUUGCUGGACAGUAACUGACGCUGAGGCGCGAAAGCGUGGGGAGCAAACAGGAUUAGAUACCCUUGUAGUC